GGAUAGAGGCCUACCAUGGUGGUAACGGGUAACGGGGUGUUAGGGCACGACACCGGAGAGGGAGCCUGAGAAACGGCUACCACAUCCAAGGAUGGCAGCAGGCGCGCAAAUUACCCAAUCCCGACACGGGGAGGUAGUGACAAUAAAUAACAAUACGGGGUUCUUUCGGAUCUCGUAAGUGGAAUGAGUACAAUUUAAAUCUCUUAACGAGGAACAAUUGGAGGGCAAGUCUGGUGCCAGCAGCCGCGGUAAUUCCAGCUCCAAUAGCGUAUAUUAAAGUUGUUGCAGUUAAAAAGCUCGUAGUUGAAUUUCGGGGUUAGUAGGUUGGUCAUGCCUCUGGUAUGUACUGAUCUCACUGAUUCCUCCUUCCUUAUGAACCGUAAUGCCAUUAAUUUGGUGUUGCGGGGAAUUUGGACUGUUACUUUGAAAAAAUUAGAGUGUUUAAAGCAGGCUAACGCUUGAAUACAUUAGCAUGGAAUAAUGAAAUAGGACGUUCGAUCUUAUUUUGUUGGUUUCUAGGAUUGACGUAAUGAUUAAUAGGGAUAGUUGGGGGCAUUAGUAUUCAAUUGUCAGAGGUGAAAUUCUUGGAUUUAUUGAAGACUAACUACUGCGAAAGCAUUUGCCAAGGAUGUUUUCAUUAAUCAAGAACGAAAGUUAGGGGAUCGAAGACGAUCAGAUACCGUCGUAGUCUUAACCAUAAACUAUGCCGACUAGGGAUCGGAUGA
rnacentral:rRNA from 1 species